GUGGAAAAGCAUUAACAAAUGGCCACCGCAGGCCUUUACCUAUUCAAAAUAUUAAACAAAUUCUAGGAUCAUAGACGAUGUAAGACAUGGUAGUUAAUAGGAAAGUUCCAGAUUAAAAACAAUUUUGCACAAAUAUACAUCUGUGUGUGUGUGUCUACUUGGAAAACACAUUGCUUGAGGAGUUUUUGCCAUUUUAGUUACCAAUUUUACACUCUGUGUUCACAGCAUUUGCCACCCAAUAUCUACAUAUAAAGCCACCAUAAUACUUUAAAUUACUUUAUACUUCAUUUUCAGUCAAUUGGAAUCAUAAACUAAGACUGCUUAGCUAAUGAAGCACUUUCAUGAGCAAAAAUUACAGAUUUUUUGAACAUGAUUCUAGGAAUAGUUCAGUUUUCACAUUUAGUGUCUGAACCUAAGUUUGUCACAUGAAGCACAAAAUCCGCUUUUAUUUUUAAAAAUCAAUUGUAUUUUCACUGUAAACAAAUAGCAUAAAAGCAAUAAAAACACUUCCCUUCAUUGUAUGAAAAUGUGUGGCAUUUUAUUUGAGUUACUAAUUAAAAUCCUGGAUUUAGAACUUCUGGAUCUUCUUCACUUAUAAAUUUGAGUCUAUUCUUUACCAUACUGUAGUUUUUACCUUAGGGAUUUGGUACAUUUUAUUUAAAAAAGGAAAAUGCAGACAGUGAAAAUUGAGAUAGAGUUAGAAGACUUCAAGCACCAUAGCCCAGCAUGUGUAUAUUCAGGACAAGUGAAGGGUCCCCUCCACUGGAUUCAAUGACUGAAAAUUAUGAAGAUAUCAAAAAUGUAAGAAGUCAUAGGAAAUAUUUUUCCUCAAUGGCAAAGAUGGCACACAAGUUGAAUGGUUAAGAAGGAAGGUUUAUUGGCUUCAAUUCCCCAGUUGAUGUUCAACACUUUAUUUAGUUCUCAUU
rnacentral:lncRNA from 1 species